UUAAGUUCAGCGGGUAUUCCUACCUGAUCUGAGGUCGACCUUGUAAAAGUUGGGGGUUUUACGGCGGGCCGCACCGCUCUCCGCCUGCGAGGUGGUUUUAGUACUACGCAGGGGAGGCUACAGCGUGGUCGCCACUGGAUUUAGGGGACGGCCGCCCGGUAAAGGGUGUGGCCGAUCCCCAACACCGCCCCCGACAGAAG
rnacentral:misc_RNA from 1 species